AUUAAACGCUGGCGGCAGGCCUAACACAUGCAAGUCGAGCGGAUGAAGAGAGCUUGCUCUCUGAUUUAGCGGCGGACGGGUGAGUAAUGCCUAGGAAUCUGCCUGGUAGUGGGGGAUAACGUUCCCAAAGGAACGCUAAUACCGCAUACGUCCUACGGGAGAAAGCAGGGGACCUUCGGGCCUUGCGCUAUCAGAUGAGCCUAGGUCGGAUUAGCUAGUUGGCGAGGUAAUGGCUCACCAAGGCUACGAUCCGUAACUGGUCUGAGAGGAUGAUCAGUCACACUGGAACUGAGACACGGUCCAGACUCCUACGGGAGGCAGCAGUGGGGAAUAUUGGACAAUGGGCGAAAGCCUGAUCCAGCCAUGCCGCGUGUGUGAAGAAGGUCUUCGGAUUGUAAAGCACUUUAAGUUGGGAGGAAGGGCAGUAAGCUAAUAUCUUGCUGUUUUGACGUUACCGACAGAAUAAGCACCGGCUAACUUCGUGCCAGCAGCCGCCGUAAUAC
rnacentral:rRNA from 1 species